rnacentral:lncRNA from 1 species
CUCAAAAUAUAUAUGGAUCAUUGAUGGUCCUUAAGUAGCAAUCUGCGCAAGCAAACUAGUUUUGCUAGAAAGUAACCUGCGAUUUACACACACAUCUUUAACAAAUUAUGGACACGAGGUUCAAACUUGACUCAUGAUAAUGCAUACGUUUGUAACAUGCUUAUAUCCAUAUAAAAGGCAAUCCCAAUCUCAUUUAAUUCUUAGAAUGUAGAAUAGGCUUUCAGGGUUCCUGUUGGGAAUAACGGAUCCCCGAAAACCGGAUUCGACACUAAAUCGAACCCCUAAAUCAAUGCGGAAGACGAGCCUGAGAAAACAACACGUAUCACCGAUCCUAAAGCACACCACGGAUUCGAGCGUACCUUUUAAGCCACGGAUUAAACACCGAUGCCGAUAGAGGAAGAGAAACUUGGUCCUGUUCGAUCCGGUGAAGCAAAUUCGCCUUCGUGCUUCACUGUUUUCCUUUUGGGAGAGAAAGCGAGAGAGAGAGAGAGCGUGAGAAGAAGAAUGAUGCGUAGGUACGUUUUCUGUUUUCAACAAAACGGUACUUUCUCUCUCUCCUCCCCUUUUAUAUGUCCCUCCAUCCACGGGCCGUAUUCCCGUGGGCCGGGCUUUUUGGGCC